CGUUAGGAAGAGCGUCGCCCUCCACGCCUUCUGAGCAGCUCCAGUUUCGUAGCGCCCUCGUGUGUCUGGAGGAAGAAACGUCCUGGAUUUGAGUUUGACAGUGAGGAGACUCAAUGGCGGCGCGUGAAAGGAUCCAGAAGAAACCACAAGCAGUCGAAAUCCAAGGCACCUGUCUUCUCCAAAAGUUGUUGAAGUCACUUCCAUGUCUGCAUGCCCACCAGCUAUGGUUGUGUAUAGCCAUGUGAAUUAACUAUUGGAGAAUUAUCAUCUAUUUUGACUUUGGAAACUAUUGAUACGGUCUAAGGGUUUUGGAAUGAUAUAGUCUAGGAGUCUUGGUCAGGUUUGUUGUUUCUGCCAGCCGAAGAAUUAAAAGGCAGGAAAAAUCUGAAGACCAGCAUGGAGCAGCAGAGAAAUCUUAAGCAUCGUGGACAGAAUUAGGAGUAGAAGGAAGAUACAAUCAUAUUGGGAUGGAUCUGAAUCCAAAAUGACUGGUGUACUCCUCAUUAGAAGAGGAAAAUUUGGGCAUGUGCUGUUACAGAAGGAAACCAAUGCAGAGCUACAGGCAGAGACACUGAAGUGACGCACUUCAAACCAAGGGACUCCAGGGGCUACUAGAAGCUGUGUCAAGGAAGAACCUUCCUUCAGGGACUUAGUCUCAGUCUUGCUGACAUGGGGACCUUGCACUUCUGCUUCCAGAGCCAUGACAGGAUGCAUUCUGACGUUUUAAGCCAUCCACCUUGAUUAUGGAAGUCCGAGAAAGUUAUUAUAGAUUCAGCCCAACUAUUCAUUGAACUGUGUAGCAUAGACACACAUGUUAGAAAAUAAAGU
rnacentral:lncRNA from 1 species